rnacentral:rRNA from 1 species
GACGAGCGCUGGCGGCGUGCCUAAUACAUGCAAGUCGAGCGAAGUUUUUCUGGUGCUUGCACUAGAAAAACUUAGCGGCGAACGGGUGAGUAACACGUAAAGAACCUGCCUCAUAGACUGGGACAACUAUUGGAAACGAUAGCUAAUACCGGAUAACAGCAUUAACCGCAUGGUUGAUGUUUGAAAGUUGGUUUUGCUAACACUAUGAGAUGGCUUUGCGGUGCAUUAGCUAGUUGGUGGGGUAAAGGCCUACCAAGGCGACGAUGCAUAGCCGACCUGAGAGGGUGAUCGGCCACACUGGGACUGAGACACGGCCCAGACUCCUACGGGAGGCAGCAGUAGGGAAUCUUCCGCAAUGGGCGAAAGCCUGACGGAGCAACGCCGCGUGAGUGAAGAAGGAUUUCGGUUCGUAAAGCUCUGUUGUUAGGGAAGAAUGAUUGUGUAGUAACUAUACACAGUAGAGACGGUACCUAACCAGAAAGCCACGGCUAACUACGUGCCAGCAGCCGCGGUAAUACGUAGGUGGCAAGCGUUGUCCGGAAUUAUUGGGCGUAAAGCGCGCGCAGGUGGUUUAAUAAGUCUGAUGUGAAAGCCCACGGCUCAACCGUGGAGGGUCAUUGGAAACUGUUAAACUUGAGUGCAGGAGAGAAAAGUGGAAUUCCUAGUGUAGCGGUGAAAUGCGUAGAGAUUAGGAGGAACACCAGUGGCGAAGGCGGCUUUUUGGCCUGUAACUGACACUGAGGCGCGAAAGCGUGGGGAGCAAACAGG